AACCCGCCUGCAUGAAGCCGGAAUCGCUAGUAAUCGCGGAUCAGAAUGCCGCGGUGAAUACGUUCCCGGGUCUUGUACACACCGCCCGUCACACCAUGGGAGUCGGGAAUGCCCGAAGCCGGCGGCCUAACCUUAUAGGAGGGAGCCGUCGAAGGCAGGCCCGGUGACUGGGGUGAAGUCGUAACAAGGUAUC
rnacentral:rRNA from 1 species